rnacentral:lncRNA from 1 species
AAGGAUCUUUAUUGAGAGAGUGUUUACAAAUAUUCCCGACAAUGGAGGAUAAAUGCAUGGAGUUUUUAUAUAAUCUUGAGUCCGCAGCUUUCUUCGAAGUUAUUUUUGGUGUGGAUCCAAUGGCACAAAUCACAGUCUUUAGUCCGUUUCUGAUGGCAGUACAGUCUUUAGUUCGAUACACCACACAGUUGAAGUUGUUUGAAGCGAAGGGUCUUUCCUUCCUUGCGAAUUUUCUCCUUUCUGGGUUCUUGAUUCUGAAGACGGCACUCGAGUAAUGUUCGGCGCUCGGCUUCGUUGGAGACGGGUGUUUGGAGAAGUACACGGGCAACCUACAGUCUCUUUUCUCCCUCUAUGUCUUGGGUGGCCACUGUCUAGAAGGGUUUCUCAGACAAGAGAUAUAGUAGUUCACUUCGUCGACUCCAGGCGUACCAAACCUGAGGUGUGGUGAUCGCCCAUUAUAUUGCUUGCUCUUCCCCCCUCUUUUUUUCUUUGUUAGAGUCAAGAAUC